rnacentral:lncRNA from 1 species
GGGCGUGGCCUGAGGGGCGAGAGCCCCCAAGGCUGUGGGUAUGAGGCCGGGGCCCUGCACCGGAAGGGAGGGCGGAAGCCACGGGACGUGGAGCAGAUGGUGAGGAUAGUGGGGAGGUAGCAGCAGAGGAUGACCCGAGGCAAAAGUGCAAGUGAAGAAAAGUCGCCUUGCCGGGCAGAGGUACGGGACCAAGGCGCCUCCUCUGGGCUGAGGAGUUAGAGGGAAGAAAAUGGCGCCCUGUCAUGAGGGCGCGAGGUCCGAGUUGAGGGGAGAAGACUGAGGGACACAGAAGUGGCCGAAGUGAGGGCGCUGAGGUCAGCCUGAGCUGAGAGGGCCGGCAGAUCACGCCGCAGCCGAAGUGAACGAACUCGAGUGAGCUCUUCUCUUUUUCAGGAAAUUACUCCAGGAUUUGAAUCAUCACAAGAGAUUCACCAGAGGAUUUUAUACACUUGGGCUGUGGCAGCAGACUAAUUACAUCACAGCACUAGGCUAAAGAAGAAAAAUCACAUGAUCAUAUCAAUAGAUGCAGAAAAAGCAUCUGACAAAAACCAGCUCUCAUUCAUGAUCAGAACUCUCAGCAAACUAGUAAUAGAGGGGAACUUACUCAACUUGAUAAAGAACAUAUGCAAAAAUCUUUCAGCUAACAUCGUACUUAAUGGUAAGAAAUUGAAGCUUUCCCACUAAGAUCAGGAGCAAGGCAAGGACGUCUCCUUUGACCAACCCUUUUCAACAUCAUAUUUAUUGGAAGUCCUAGCUAAUGCAAUAAGACAAGAAAAAGAAGUAAAAAGUAUACAGAUUGGGAAGAAGAAAAUAGAACUGCCUUUGUUUGCAGAUGACAUGAUUAUCUAUGUAGAAAAUCUGAAAGAAUUGACCAAAAAAACCCUCCUGGAGCUAAUAAGCAAUGAUAACAAGGUGGCAAAAAUAGGUUGAUAUACAAAAGUUAAUUGCUUUCCUAUAUGCCAGCAACAAACAAAUGAGAUUUGAAAUUAAAACCAAAAUCCCAUUUACAAUAAUACCCCCAACUUAAAUACUUAGGCAUAAAACUAACAAAAAUAUGUAAGACCUUUAUAAGGGAAGUUAUAAAACUCUGAUGAACAUAUAAAAAGCUAAAUAAAGGAGAGAGAUUCCAUGUUUAUGGAUAGGAAGACUCAAUAUUACCAAGACAUCACUUCUUCCCAACUUGAUGUAUAGAUCCAAGGCAGACCAAACCAAAAUCCCAGAAAAUAAUUUCCUGGAUAUUAACAGAAUCUUUUUUUUUUUUUUUUUUUUUCCUGAAACGGAGUCUCACUGUG